rnacentral:tRNA from 1 species
GGUUAUGGCUCAGGGGUAGAGUGCUAGCCUAGCAUGCAUGAGGCUCUGGGUUCAAUCCUCAGCACCA